rnacentral:lncRNA from 1 species
AUGACGGCUGACUGUGACAUCAACUCUGCUGCUUCAGACCGGACCCGGCGAACCGAGUCAGCUCUCUUCGAGAGGGUCCCACUGAGUGAGAUCGAUCUCAUAUCCAAUGCUGUUCUGAUCAGGACACCUUCUGUGCCCUGUGAGUACAUGAUUGUGGUGCAGUCAGACAAUGUCCCAGAGACCAUAGUGUUUCAGAGAGACUCAUCAGUCAGUAAGAAAAUUAGGAAUGCUCGAGCAGCAGCUGGUGGUGCUGCCACUGGUGCACCGGGCAACGCCCAGUCUGACUGCACACACUGUUUGACCCCGCCUAUAGCCCCAUCACAAAUGGUCAAAGAUCAGCCAGCCACCAAAUUGGUCACGCCCUUAGUGGUGACUGAGGACCCUCCGCUUUUUGGUGGUGGAAAUAAGCCUGUCUUAACCCAACUUGGUUGGAAUCCACUUUCACCUGGAGACAACUCUUUCUACAAGCACAUGGACGUAAAUACAGCAUUACCUGAUGCAAAUGCCUACAACCCCUACAUGAAUGAAAUGAUAGUGGAUCAAAUGAAUGGGGUGAACUUUGGUAUUUUACCCAAGGUGUCAGAUGAGAUGACAGGCUUCAAUGUUAUGGGCCCACCCACCUUCAUGCCACCAGGUGUUUCAGCAGCAGAAGAAAUAAGUGCUUCUAGUUUAGUGUAUCCUCCGAUUUCAGCUGGACAGGAGGCUAAUACACUCUGUUUGGUGCUCCCGACGAUUUCCAUUGCUCAAGAAAGUGGAGACCUCCCAUUGCUUAGCCCACCAUCUAUCUCAAAGCCACAAGCCAUUACAGUCCCCAGUGUGAUGUGCCCAGCCAUCUCACAACCAGAGGAAACAAAGACCUCCAAGGCAGAGGAAAUAGAGGCCCUCCGAUCAAUGUACCCUCCUAUUGUGCCACCCAGUUUACCAAACCCAUCUGUACCAGCUCCACAGGAAACAACAGCCACUCUGCUUCAUCCCCCAUUUUUGGCCCAGGAGGAAACAAGACCCCCUUCAUUGCCUCUCACCCAGGCAUCAGUGCACAUGCAUCAGUGCACUGGUCAGAAUGCACUAGCAUUUCAUGUGAAUGAGGAGAGCAGAAGAACACCAUAUAUGAUUCCAUUGGUCUCCCAAAGCAUUAUGGGAGUGACACAGAUGUAUGUUCAACCACAACAACCCCAGUUCAUUCACAGCUGGUCCAGAGAAGCAGGUCAGUUGAAUAGCAGAUAG